UACAAUAUAGAGCCAGACGCAGAUUGGCCCUCGAGUGCAAGGGCAGAAGGGAGCUUGACUGCAAGACCCACCCGUCGAGCAGGGACGAAAGUCGGCCUUAGUGAUCUGACGGUGCCGAGUGGAAGGGCUGUCGCUCAA